rnacentral:lncRNA from 1 species
AAAAAAUCGAUCUCUUAGAAGUGAUCAAGGAGGUCGAUUCUGUUGAAGUGGUCAUCCAUUUUCUCUCACUUCUUGUACGAUAAAACCUUAUCGAUCUUAUCAGUGAUAUAUAUAAAAAAAUAAGAUUAGAUCAUAAUAAAAAAUUUUGAUUAGUCAAUUAGUAAUCUUAUUUUUUUAUAUAUAUCACUGAUCUAUAGAGCUUUUCUUGUAAUUCUAUAAUUUUGCCAAUAUAAUUUUUUUAAAAAUUAUAUGAAUGAACAGCUUAGUAAAUGGUCAAAAGCAAUGCUUAUGUCUCAUUUUGAUCAUCUUGUUAAGUUCUGUAAGUCUACCUGCAGCUUUGUGGCACAAAUUAGCAUUCUAGAGUCAGUGAAACAGCUAGUGAAAGAGACAUGACGGCCAAAGGACAUCUUUUCUGCAUCAUAAUCCAAGAGAAAGGAUUGCUACAGCAUCUCGUGGCACUUACUAGGUGAGAUACACUGACGCACACAAUUCACAAACCGUGAAAGCUUUGAUGGAUCAGCUGCAGCUACUCAUAUAUCCUUGGUUUUGUGGUUGUAGUAGCAGUAGGAGGGCAGCAGCCAUCCUCGUCUUCCCCAAUCUCAAUCUCCCUUGGCUUCCUUCUCCUUAGGCUUGCUGUUCUUCUUCGUCUUCAUGAAGCAGAAGCAGGAGCAGCAUGGGCACUGAAACAAGAACUUCAUGGCGUGUACCCUCCUAUGUUUUCUGAUCAAGGAAACUAUAUGACCUCAGUCUCUUCCCCUUCUCCUCCAUUUAAAUCCCUUCAAAAAGGAGUGGAAUCUAUUCCUUUCCCCGUCACCACAAAAAAAAGAAGAGGAUGCCUAUGGUCUAACCCUAGAAGGGCAUAUGGGCAUGAUCAAAAGUUGUUUGUUUCUUCUAGGGUGGGUCAUGGGGCUUUCACAAAAGAAAAACUCUAUCAUUAUUUACGCUCCUCUACAAAACUUAGGCUGCUGUUUAAAUAGCAUUGCUUGAAGCAUCCACCGUUGGUUUUUGGACUUUGAACGUAGUAUCGAAGCUUUACUGUCAGACAUGACCUUUGGACACGUACGGUAAAUAUUGUCCCUAAAGGCAACAAUGGUAGAUUUCAGC